rnacentral:lncRNA from 1 species
CCUGCUAGGGCAGGGCAGUGGAACUUCCUCCUUCGGCCUUUUGAUUCAUCUGACCCAGUCUAUUGGUGCUGCUCAGAUGCAAAGCUAGUUCUUCUGUCAGUUCACUGACCACCCUCCAAGAGUUUCUGGUAAUAUUGUCCCAUACGCACCAAGACAUGUGCCUUAUCAAUUUCCUAGGUGUCUCUCACUCUAACCAAACAACCAAGGGCAAUGAUGAUAGCACCCACUAAACCCAGUGAGUAAGAAAAAUGACUGAGAGCAUAGGAGUUAGUCUCGGGGUUGGGAAGUAGCAAGCUGGAUCAGAUAGAUACCAAGGGUGGAAAGAGAUGAGAUACAUGUGAUUAGAUGCUAGCAAUAUCCGCUUUGCAGGCAGGGCUUCUUUGUCAAACUGGGUUUAAGCUGACUAAUGUUGAGCUAGGAGAUAGUUGGUAUCCAAGGACAACGUACCUGAUCAGGUUUUUCCUUCCUCCAGUGUUCUCCACUAAAGGGACUACACACAGGCAUGAUUUAAAGAUGACCCAGCCUCCAUUUCAGAGUUACCAUUUGGGUGCACAUUUCAGCCAAGAGUGCUUAGGAGACAAUGGUGAUACAUAAGGAAGCUGAAGUAUCUGAACGUUCUACAAAGCUGAGAGAGGCCCUCAGCCUCCCAGCCCAGCAGUGGUGUCUGUCUCCUGGGAAUAACACAGCUUUAUGGACAAAGCAGGAUGUGCCAGGGAAAAACAAAUAAGCAUGCAGCAGCCCACUAUGGAAGGAAAUAUUCCUAGUCAAACAGUAACAUAAUACCUGCUUAUUCUUUUCAAACCCUCCUGUCAUUUAUUUGAAGAUUAUUUUCCACUGAAGCCUUUGCAGAAGGUACUUAGAGCAAAGCCUCAAGAGACUCUCACGCUCAUUUUGGAGCUGUCUGAUAUUCAUGGCUCCGAGCUGGGCAAAUAUUAGCUGGAAGAUGUAGACGGUGAUAAGGCCAACGGCCUACACUUCUCCAGACCCUAAAAGGGUUUCUGUUGACACAACCUGAUUUGUCUCGGCAGCAGCUGCACUGCAUAGAUUUUGCACGGAACCCCUGUCAUGGUUGGUGCUCGUGUGGGGAGCCAGGCACCUCCCUGGAUGCUUUAUCAUAGGAGCGACGGUCAGCACAGUUCUAUACUCAUGGGCUUUAGGAAGAUAAGAACCCCCAAUCAACCCUCAGUUAUGAAGUUAUUAUUGUUGUAGCUUUCUGUUCCACUGUUGUCCUUUGGUAACCGAGAAUAAGUGAAUAAAUAAAUGAAUGAAUCCG